AACGAACGCCGGCGGCAUGCCUAACACAUGCAAGUCGAACGAUGGCUUCGGCCAUAGUGGCGCACGGGUGAGUAACGCGUGGGAACCUGCCUUUUGGUUUGGGAUAACUCCGGGAAACUGGAGCUAAUACCGGAUGAGCCCGAGCAAUCGGGGAAAGAUUUAUCGCCAAAAGAGGGGCCCGCGUCCGAUUAGGUAGUUGGUGGGGUAACGGCCUACCAAGCCUACGAUCGGUAGCUGGUCUGAGAGGAUGAUCAGCCACACUGGGACUGAGACACGGCCCAGACUCCUACGGGAGGCAGCAGUGGGGAAUAUUGGACAAUGGGCGCAAGCCUGAUCCAGCAAUGCCGCGUGGAUGAUGAAGGCCUUAGGGUUGUAAAGUCCUUUCGUCGGGGACGGAUGAUGACGGUACCCGCAGAGAAGCCCGGCUAACUUCGUGCCAGCAGCCGCGGUAAU
rnacentral:rRNA from 1 species